rnacentral:tRNA from 1 species
GGAUAGCCAAGUGGUAAGGCAACGGUUUUCGAUACCGUCAGCAAAGGU